rnacentral:rRNA from 1 species
UUUAUUGGAGAGUUUGAUCCUGGCUCAGGAUGAACGCUGGCGGCGUGCCUAAUACAUGCAAGUCGAGCGAAUGAAUUAAGAGCUUGCUCUUAUGAAGUUAGCGGCGGACGGGUGAGUAACACGUGGGUAACCUGCCCGUAAGACUGGGAUAACUCCGGGAAACCGGGGCUAAUACCGGAUAACAUUUUGAACCGCAUGGUUCGAAAUUGAAAGGCGGCUUCGGCUGU